rnacentral:tmRNA from 1 species
GGGGGUGUCAAGGUUUCGACGAAGGUGAAUGAAAUAUAGGUUGCAUGUCGAGGUCUCCGCAGGCCUCGUUAAAUAGGCGGAACACUUAUAAAUGCUGAUGAAGAAUUAGCAUUAGCUGCUUAAUA